rnacentral:lncRNA from 1 species
UUUAAUUUUUGCUCACUAUUUGCAUAAAAAGCAAAUUAUAAUAGACCAUAGAUGAUAGACCCUCAUCCAGUGCUCUCAUCAGUUUACUUCUCUAACAAGCAAGGAGGGGGGGGGGGGGACAUAACAGUUCAUUUUUCAUAAUUAUGAGGACAGAGCAGAUGAUGAUGAGAGAUGAAAGUAUAAAACACCAUUCACAAUGCUAGAUGUUAACAUUAUUUCUGGCAAUAAAACGCUCCAACUGACCAACUGACCAUUUCACACGAACUUUUAUCGCUGGAUAAUUUUGCGAGUUUUCAUCCAAUUCAAUCA